rnacentral:rRNA from 1 species
CCUGGCGGCCAUAGCGCCGUGGAACCACCUGAUCCCAUGCCGAACUCAGAAGUGAAACGCGGUAGCGCCGAUGGUAGAGUAGGACACUGCCAGGC